CCGUAACCAUUACACACGCCAUUGACUCCAUCGACCAGCCAUCCAUGGACAAAGACCACUGAUGGGCGGAAGUGGCCUCCAUGCCACCAAUCAGCAGGCCCAAAAUCCACGCAAGCCCCAUAAAUUCUAAAACCUUAGAAUACAUACCCAAUAGCCCACUCCAACCACUAUUUUAGCCAUCGUUGGCGGUGUUCCCUUGUUGACGAAAUUAUCAUUGAACCCAGAGCUCUAACACCAGCCACCUCUUUCCUUCCAACCACCUCAAAACCCACAAAACCUACCACCUAUCUUAUGAAGGGAAAGAGGAGAGGCUGAGAGAUAGUUUUAAACUUUUAGCUUUAGGGUUUGUUUUGAUUUGUUUUAGUUUUUAUUUCGG
rnacentral:lncRNA from 1 species